AGUAAAUAGAUACCCGGGUAGUCCCAGCUGUAAACGAUGCGCGUUAGGUGUAUCGGUGACCACGAGUCAUCGAGGUGCCGAAAGGGAAACCGUGAAACGUGCCGCCUGGGAAGUACGGUCGCAAGGCUGAAACUUAAAGAAAUUGGCGGGGGAGCACCACAACGGGUGGAGCCUGCGGUGUAAAUUGGACUCAACGCCGGGCAGCUCACCGGAUAAGACAGCUGGAUGAUAGCCGGGCUGAAGACUCUGCUUGACUAGCUGAGAGGAGGUGCAUGGCCGUCGUCAGUUCGUACUGUGAAGCAUCCUGUUAAGUCAGGCAACGAGCGAGACCCACGCCAACAGUUGCCAGCAUGUCCUCCGGGAUGAUGGGGACACUGUUGGGACCGCCUCUGCUAAAGAGGAGGAAGGAAUGGGCAACGGUAGGUCAGCAUGCCCCGAAUUAUCCGGGCUACACGCGGGCUACAAUGGUCAGGACAAUGGUAUCGACACCGAGAGGUGGAGGCAAUCU
rnacentral:rRNA from 1 species